AUUGCAAGAUUGCCUGUUUGUACUUCUCUACUUCCCAGUAAAUGUUGAAUAUUACAAGAUAUCACAAUGUUGAUAUAUUCCAGAAGGCGCGCACCCACACACACACACGCACACACACACAAUGGGCAUGCCGGUUACGUUGAAAAUGUAUGUGUCAACAGAUCCUGUUAAUUUCCCUAAUAUUCUUUUGGCAUUUGGCUUAUCUAAAGCCAAUUGGGCAAUAUCUAUAGCUUAACAAGUCAUUGUCAUCUAAUUUCUUUUACUCAUCGAAAAGAAAAAAAAAAACAAUUGGUAGUCUUGUUUGUAUCACCACUACUAAAUUAACUUUUAUGCAUUAAAUUUCAAAAUCGAUCUUAAAGCAAUACACAGAAGAAACCAAAGGGGAAAGAUUCAUCAUUUCCUAUCAGUUUAAACUUUUAUCCAUGAUAUUAGAAAGCGAUCUUUAGUUCAAACCUUGUCUCCACUGCAUCUCCUAUUUAAAGUUGACAAUUUAGGUAUUGGCUUCCAUUCAUUGAAGGGGAGUUAGAAUACUGGUUAAAUUGUGAAUUCAUCAUUUUUCUAUUAGCUUCUCUUUUGGAUUAAUGUUAGUUUAUCAUCCACCUUGGACCAUUUUGGCAUUCUUGUUGUGCUUUUCGCACUUUCAAUGUAGGUUUUGUUCUAUUUUCAAGUGUUAUAUAGACUUUCUUUAUGUGAUUGAACAAACAUAAAUGAUAUCUUUUCACAAUUGCUCAUUUCUGUCCUCUUACAGAUUUUGACAUUUUUUUCCUUCUCAGCAUUGGCACUUGAUCAUUUUGAAAAUUUAAUUUCGAUUGUGCUUAUUUGCAACAUAUUUCUUCUUUGCUUGUCAUUCUAUAAUUGUAAAGACCCAUAGAAGUGUUAACCAUCCAGAUUAUCAACUUUGGCGAUUCAGUAUCCACAGAUCAAUUUUAGAUCAAGAUACAUAUUGCAUAGCAUCAUGAACAUCUACUUUCUGAAAAGAUUGCAUGGAGGCAAAAAUUAGAUGGAUUAGCAUUUGAGACCAUAGAUCAUCAACAUGCUAUGUGGGUUGAGAGGCCGUUCAAAGAGAUUGAGGUUCACCAAGUGGUGAGAAAAGGAUGGCUAAAGAUAAAGAACCAGGUCCAGAUGAAUUCACAAUGGCUCUCUUCCAAUCUUGUUGGGAGGUGGUAAGGGAGGAUGCUAUGAGGAUGUUCCAAGAGUUUCAUUCCAAUGGAAAGUUUGAGAAGAGCCUUAAUUCAACCUUUAUCGCAUUCACUCCCAAAAAAGUCAGGGCAAUGGAUGUUAAUGACUUUCGCCCUAUUAAUUUUUUAAUGGGGUGGUUAAGAUUAUAUCCAAAGUUCUUGCUAAUCGGCUAAGUGUGAUAUUGGAAAAGUUCACAUCGAAGCCUCAUAAUGCCUUCGUCGGAUGUAGACAUAUAUAAGAGUCAGUGAUUAUCGCUAAUGAAUGUUUGGAUGGCAGAUACUACUAUGCAAAUUAGACAUGAAGAAGCCUAUGAUCAUGUGAAUUGGGUAUUCCUACUCUAUAUGCUUGGGAGAUGUGGCUGUGGGCAGAAAUGGCGUGCUUGGAUUAUGCAUUGCAUCUCCACAAUUCAUUUUUUAGUACUAAUGAAUGGCACUCCAGCUAGAUUCUUUAGUAUCUCUUGUGGGUUGAGAUAGGGCGACCCAUUUUCACCAUUUCUAUUUGUCAUUGUCAUGGAAGCUCUUAGUAGCAUAGUUAGAACUAUUGUGAGGGGAGGUUUUCUCUCUAGUUUUUUGGUGGGGGACAGUAAUCGUGGUAUCCUCAACAUUUCCCAUCUAUUGUUUGCAGAUGGCACAAUGGUUUUUUGUGGUGCAAAUCGAGAUCAUAUUCGCUCCUUGAGGAUAGUGCUCUUAUGCUUUGUAGUUGUUUCUAAACUAAAAGUGAACCUAGCAAAGCUAGAAUUGGUUCCAACGGGUGGUGUCGUCAAACAUUAGAAGUUUGGCUAGCACUUUGUGAUGCAAGGUAUCUUUUUGCCCAUGAAAUACCUUGGCCUUCCAUUGGGAGCCUCUUAUAAACUAUUUGGGAUGGUGUGAUUGAAAAGAUUGAACGUAGAUUAGCUAGUUGGAAAAGGAUGUGUUUGCCAAAAGGUGGGAGAAUCACUUAAUUAAGAGUACUCUUUCUGACUUGCCCUCAUAUUACUUAUCUUCCUUUCCCUUGGUGGUGUGGCAAACCACAUUGAGAAGUUACAACGUGAUUUUUAUGGGGCGGGAUAACCAAAGAGUUCAAAUUUCACCUUGUUAGUUGGGACAAGGCUCGUCUCCCAUUCUCAAGGGGAGAGUUGGGAAUUUGAAACUUGCAAGGGAGGCUUUGCAGAAGGUUGUUAUUGAUUCCAAGUAUGGUAGCGCCUGGGGGGGUUGGUGUUCUAAGGAAGUGCAAGGUUCACAUGGAGUGGGGUUGUGGAAGUAUCUUAAAAAAGGAUUUUUUGUUUUUUUUUUUUUUUUUUUUUUUUUUUGGGGGGGGGGGGGGGGGGGGUUUCUCUAGGCACAUCAAAUUUGAGGUGGGGGUAAUGGUUUCAUGAUCAACUUUUUGGCAUGACUUAUAGCGUGGUGAUGAGGUCCUCAAAGAAGCCUUCCCUAUAGUCUAUAGGUUUGCCUGGGAGCGAGAGGCUUCAAUGGCUGAUGUAUUGAUUGUCUCUGGUGGUGCUCUUCAAUGGAAUGUCACCUUUCUCAGGGUAGCACAUGAUUGGGAGGUUGGUUCGCUUAUAGAAUAAGGGAGGCAGACAAGAUGCUUGGAGUCCUCCUAAGAGAGGAAAAUUCUUAGUAUGUUCAUUCUAUGAGGUUAUAACCUCUCAAAAUAGUAUUUCCUUCCCUUGGAGGAGCAUUUGGAUGAGUAAGGCACCACUCAAGACUCAAUUUUUUUUUGCAUGGACAGCUUCUUCAGGGAAGAUCUUAACCAUGUACAACUUGAGAAAACACCGGAUCAUAAUAGUGUAUUGAUAUUGCAUGUGCAAAAAAAGUGGAGAGAAAUUACUUAUCAAACAAAGUGGAGAGAAUGCUUGUGGAAAUUUCUUUGGGAGGGUUUGGUUAGCAUGGGUAAUGCCAACAAGGUGGUUGAUCUUCUUGCAAACUGGAGAGGUUUAUACUCUAAUCCUUAAGUCGCGGUAGUGUGGAAGAUGGUCCCUGUUGAUGUCGUGUUUCGUAGCCCAAGCAACCUGGCUGUUCCUCUUGGUGACCUACGAGAUCCACUGAGAUGAGGGCUCGGGGUGGUGGGGGACACCUCCGAUGCCUAAGUCAGAAUAAUCUUUUGUAGGGAGAAAGAGCUAGGAGAAAAGUGUUCAGAUCCCUUUACUUGAGCCCGGAAUGUGCUUAUAUAUACCUGGUCGUGGUGGUCCCCGCCCUCUGCUAGCAGAUUGUGCAAGGGUUUGCUGAGCGUUGUACCGGCGGCAGGGUCCCCCUUUGUCAUGUCAGCAGUCUCUUGGCCGUAUUGUUUGUGGGUUGACAAUUUGUCCCUUGUUGCAGGUAAGGGGAAGGUGCGCGCACUACCAUGGUUGUAGAGGUGAGUGGACAUCGGGUUCUGACCUUGCGUGCUAGUCUCUUUGGCCAUUUAAUGCUGCAUGCCCACUGUUCGGCGGCAUGGGCUGUUAGCCAAGGCUGGUAACAUGACGAGUUAUUAUAUCUGAUGGGCUUUUCUAGGCCCAGCUCGGCCCUCUUUUCCUCAUUGCUGCACUGGGCUAUCUACUACCCGACUUGGGCCUCGAGGGAAAUAAACCCAACGCAGCCCAAAGCGAAGGGAAGUAAACUCCCUUCUCAGUCCCCAUGUGCUUAAUGUGGUGUAUUUGGAGGGAAAGACAUUACUUAU